CCGGAAGGAAAAUGGAAACUUUUGUGCAAUCGUUCAAAAGGAGAAUGAAAAGGUGUUUGCCUUUGAACGGUCGAACUGGAAGGUUUAGAUGAAAUAAUAGAAAUUAAAGAAUUUGAAGAUGCAGAAGAGACGUUUGAAUAGGAUCUAGUACGGGAUGAAUUCCUCGAAGAAGCAACGGAAGAACGCCCAGACAAGCUGCGUAUGGGAGUUCGUGAUCGUCGAGUCGGCUGGGGAGAUAUGACAGUAUUUUGCAGAGGAGAAGGUGGAAUAUCAAUAUUAAUUGAGAGGUUCGAACUUUUAGAAGGG